rnacentral:rRNA from 1 species
CAGUCGUGAGGAAGGUAGUGUAGUUAAUAGCUGCAUUAUUUGACGUUAGCGACAGAAGAAAGCACCGGCUAACUCCGUGCCAGCAGCCGCGGUAAUACGGAGGGUGCGAGCGUUAAUCGGAAUUACUGGGCGUAAAGCGCAUGCAGGUGGUUUGUUUAAGUACAGAUGUGAAAGACCCGGGGCGUCAACCUACGGAAGUAGCAUUUGUAAACUAGGCAGACUAGAGUACUGUAGAGGGGGGUAGGAAUUUCAGGUGUAGCGGUGAAAUGCGUAGAGAUCUGAAGGAAUACCGGUGGCGAAGGCGGCCCCCUCGGACAGAUACUGACACUCAGAUGCGAAAGCGUGGGGAGCAAACAGGAUUAGAUACCCUGGUAG